CGCGGCCGCCGGCAAGUUCCUUUACUGUGUUUUCUUGGUUCAGCCUUGAAGUGAGUCGUGGACGAUCCUCUCUCAGCGUCCAGCCUAGACGGCGGGGUUGCUCCGGCAGCGUUCCUGGGAGCCGAGGGCCAGAGACUAAAACAGUCCUGGGUUCUGAGCCUGCCAUCCAAGGAACUCGGGAGGAGGAGUUGACAGUCUCUUCGUUCCUAACCACCCUGGGACAACUUCAGCAUGUCUCAGGCCACCAAGAGGAAGCAUGUGGUGAAGGAGGUGCUAGGGGAGCACAUAGUGCCCUCCGACCAGCAGCAGAUUGUCAGGGUACUCAGGACCCCAGGGAACAAUCUGCAUGAGGUGGAGACAGCCCAAGGGCAGCGCUUCCUGGUGAGCAUGCCCUCCAAAUACCGCAAGAACAUCUGGAUCAAGAGAGCCUGGGCAACAGAGCAAGACCCUGUCUCAAAGAAAAAAAAAAGAGGGGACUUUCUCAUUGUUGACCCUAUUGAAGAGGGAGAAAAGGUGAAGGCUGAAAUCUCGUUUGUGCUCUGCAAGGACCACGUGCGCUCUCUGCAGAAGGAGGGGUUUUGGCCUGAAGGCUUCUCUGAAGUGGCUGAGAAGCACAACAACAACAGGAACAGACAAACUCAACCAGAACUCCCAGCUGAGCCACAGUUAUCAGGAGAGGAGUCCAGCUCAGAAGAUGAUUCUGACCUGUUUGUUAACACAAACCGCAGACAGUAUCAUGAGAGUGAGGAGGAGAGCGAAGAGGAAGAGGCAGCCUGAGACCCCAGGACCCACUUCUCCACUUGCUCAGGGACUGGCCCCUGGCUCUUCUGGGCUUGGACAUUCCCAGGGUGCUCUGCAGAUCUUCACCCCUGGAUGAGGACAAAGCAGGGCUCCUCUCUGAACUGAUCUUUUGAUUAGGAGAAUUAAACCCCUGGAUCUUGCUCUGUCGCCCGGGCUGGAGGGCAGUGGCACCAUCUCGGCUCACUGCAACCUCCGCCUCCCAGGUUCAAGUGAUUCUCAUGCCUCAGCCUCCCGAAUAGCUGGGAUUACAGGUAUGUGCCACCAUGCCAUGCUAAUUUUUGUAUUUUUAGUAGAGAUGGGGUUUCACCAUGUUGGCCAGGCUGGUCUCAAACUCCCAAUCUCAGGUGAUCUGUCCACCUCAGCCUCCAAAAUUGCUGGGGUUACAGGCGUGAGCCACCGCGCCCAGCCCCCGUAUUUUCUCAUGUUUGCUAUGGCUUCAAAUUUACUGGCACAAAGUUAUUUGUAUAAUUGCCUUAUGUUUGUAAUCUUGGCUGUAUCCAAAGUUAUGUCCCCCUUUUUAUAUGUAAUACUGUUUAUUUGUGCCUUCUCUCUGUUAUAGCUGGUCAAUCUUGGCAGAAGGUCAUUAUUAGUCUUUUCUAAGCACCAGCUUUUUGUUGUCAUUCUUUGUAUUGGUAUUUCAUUAAUUGCUGCUCUUACCGUAUUUCCCACUUAUACUCCCUUUGUUUUUUGUUUUUUUUCUCAUAACCAAUCGGAAACAAACCAAUCCCUCUGGGUUUAUCCUGUGGUUCUUUUUAUUUUUCCUUUCUUUGUUUUGUUUUGUUUUGUUUCUGAGAUGGAGUCUUGCUCUGUCACCCAGGCUGGAGUGCAGUGAUGCAAUCUCAGCUCACUGCAACCCCUGCUUCCCAAGUUCAAGGGAUUCUCCUGCCUCAGCCUCCCGAGUAGCUGGGAUUACAGAUGUCUGCCACCACACCAGCUAAUUUUUGUAUUUUUAGUAGGUACAGGGUUUCACCAUGUUGGCCAGGCUGGUCUCGAACUCCCGACCUCAGGUGAUCUGCCCACCUCGGACUCCCAAAGUGCUGGGAUUACAGGCAUGAGCCACUGUGCCUAACCCCUGUAGUUCUUUUUCUAACCCUUUUGGUUACUUUUCAGCUUUACCUCCCCCUCACCCCAAACUAUUUAGAGAAUUUUCAAACGUAAAGAAAAGGUGAAAGAAUUGUAAAAUAAGUGCUUGUUUGCCUUUCAACAGCGUUGCCAAUUUAACAUUUGCCAUGUUCUAUUUCUCUACACAUGCACACACGCACACAGUUUUUACUUUUUUUUUUUUUUUUUUUGAGAUGGAGUUUUGCUCUUGUUGCCCAGGCUGGAGUACAGUGGUGCAAUCUCAGCUCACUGCAAACUCUGCCUCCCGGGUUCAAGUGAUUCUGCUUCCUCAGCCUCCCGUUUAGCUGGGAUUACAGAUGCCUGCCACCAUGCCUGGCUAAUUUUUUGUAUUUUUAGUAAAGACAGGCUUUCACUAUGUUGGCCAAGCUGGUUUCAAACUCUUGACCUCAUGAUCCGCCUGCUUUGGCCUCUCAAAGUGCUGGGAUUACAGGCAUGAGCCACUGCGCCCAGCCAAUUUUUGUAUUUUUAGUAGAGACAGGGUAUCACCUGUUGGCUAGGCUGGUGGUCUUGAACUCCUGAAUUCAGGUGAUCCACCAGCCUUGGCCUCCAAAAGUGCUGGGAUUACAGGCGUGAGCCACCGCGCCCGGCCUCCUUUCUUUUUAAGGCUGAAUAAGUCAUUGCACAUAUAGACCACAUUUUGUUUAUCCAUUUAUCCACUGAUAGAUGUUUGGGUGGCCUCCACCUUUUGGCUGUUGGGAAUAAUGCUGCUGUGAACAUGGGUGUAUAGAUAUCUCUGAGACUUUCAGUUCAUGUGGGUAUAUAUCCAGAAGUGGAAUUGCUGGCUCAUAUAGUAAUUCUAUUUUAAUUUUUUUUAGGAAUCACCAUUCUGUUUUCCAUGACAGUUGAACCGCUUUACAUUCCCACCAACAGCACACGAGGGUUCCAAUUUCUCCCCAUCCUUGCCAACACUUGCUGUUUUCUGUUUUUGUUUUGUUUUCAUAGUAGCCAUUCUGAAGUGUAUGAAAUAUCUAGUAUUUUAAUUAUAGCUUAGUUUUGAAUAUUUUCUAAUUUCGAUUAUGGUUCCUGUUUUGGCCUAUAAAUUAUUAUAUGUAAACUUUUUUUUUUUUUUGAGACAGAGUCUUGCUUUUGUUGCCCAGCUGGAGUGCAAUGGUGUAAUCUUGGCUCACUGCAACCUCUGCCUCACGGGUUCAAGCCAUUCUUCUGCCUCAGCCUCCUGAGUAGCUGGGAUUACAGGCGCCCACCACCAUGCCUGGCUAAUUUUUAUAUUUUAGUAGAGAUGGGGUUUCAGCAUGCUGACCAGGCUGGUCUCGAACUCCUGACCUCAGGUGAUCCACCCACCUCAGCCUCCCAAAGUGCUGGGAUUACAAGUGUAAGCCACCGAGUCUGGCCUAUAUUUAAACAUUUUGGCUGGGCAUAGUGGCACAUGCCUGUAAUCCCAGCUACUUGAAAGGCUGAAGGGAAAGGAUUGCUUAAGCCCUUGAGGAGUUUGAGGGCAGCCUGGUUGACAUAGUGAGACUCCAUUUCAAUAAAAAAUUAAAAGUCAAGAAUAAUUAAAUAUUUAGUUGGUUAUUUUUAAUAAUGUGAGCAGCUUCAAACCCACCACCACAAAAUAAAAGCUAGGACUUUAACAAUAACCCAAGUAACAUACUCCACCUCCCAUCCUACCCUGACCAGCCCAUUCUCUGCUGUCCCACCCAAGGCAACCAUUGUCCGAAUUCCAUGUGCACUUGUUUUCUUUUUACAUGGUUUGCUUUAUUUUUACUUUUCUUUCUUUAUUUAUUAAUUUAUUUACUUUUCAAGAUGGAGUCUCACUCUUGUCACCCAGGCUGGAGUGCAAUUGUGCGAUCUCGGCUCACCGCAACCUCCGCAUCCAGGGUUCAAGCGAUUCUCCUGCCUCAGCCUCCCGAGUAGCUGAGAUUAUAGGCCUGCGCCACCACGCCCAGCUAAUUUUUUUGUAUUUUUAAUAGAGACGGGAUUUCACCACGUUGGCCAGGCUGGUCUUGACCUCCUGCCCUCAGGUGAUCCACCUGCCUUGUCCUCCCACAGUGCUGGGAUGACAGGUGUGAGUCGCCGUGCCCGGCCUGAUGCUUCAUCUUUAGUAGUUGCCCAGUUGUCCCCCAGGAAAGUGACUUGGGCUACAGAACCCUGGGUUUUGUCUUCAUUCAAGGCCCAACCAUCUCUACUGAUCUGUGUCUGAGAAGCAUGCAGAGAAGUGUUGGCGGUUUCCUCGGUGGGAACCGCUCUCAGAAAAUCAUUGAUGAAGUGAGAAGUCAGGACACCACGGACACCACCAGCGGUUCAUGCUGCACAUGUGCUUGAUCCACUGGUGACAUUUGCAAGAGAAUCCAAAAGUCCCUGUGGGAGGUGUGGAGGCAUGCCGCAUGCCUCACCUGGUGGCACCGAGGAAUGAAGAAUUAGCAGUACAGGCUGGGUGCGGUGGCUCAACACCUGUAAUCCCAGCACUUUGGGAGACCAAGGCAGGUGGAUCACCUGAGGUCAGGAGUUUGAGACCAGCUGGCCAACUGGUGAAACCCCAUCUCUACUAAAAAUACAAAAAAAUUAGCCGGGCAUGGUGGUGCACGCCUGUAAUCCCAGCUACUCAGGAGGCUGAGAUAGGAGAAUCGCUUGAACCCAGGAGGGGAGGCAGAGGUUGCAGUGAGCCGAGAUGGUGCCACUGCACUCCAGUCUGGGCAAGAGCAAGACUCCAACCAAAAAAAAAAAAAAAAACUAGCAGUGCCCAGGGCUGUACACCAGGUGCCAGUACUGGCAGCAGUUCUUUCAGCUAUUGCGAUAGAUUCUCAUGACGCUAAAAUACCCACUUUGUUAUUUAACCCUUGCUAAUCCACAGUGAAUUGCCAAGUACCAGAAUCCUUUGUUACUAACCAGAUCAGGCUGUUCAUUCUUGAACAGCAUUGGGCAUCACUUUGUUUUAAUAAUUCUUGUAUGAAAAGAGCACUCUCUUUUCCUCCUGGUAGCGAUGUGGCUCCAACUACUGGCUGAUAUAAGAAGGUACAGGCAGUUCCUGGCUGUGUAUUCAGCCAACAUUUAGAGAAGCCACCAGCAGAGGUCACCCUAAGCACGUAAAACCAGCAAAUCAGCACCUUGCCUUGGGCUACAGAACCCAAAAGCAUCUAACCUAGUUACACAGUCUCAUAAGGGAACUGCAUUCUUGGUCCAAUCAAAGGGUCCACAUGCCCCAACAGCAGUUAGGACGCUGGUAGACCACUGCGAACACAAGUUCCAUGCUCCCAGAGAUGGAUUCACUCACCAAGGCAUGAUCAGAAGUGGCCUUCCUCCCCAGCAGCAUUUACAAGCUGGAGUACAGUGCUUGGAGGAUGGUGGGGAACUGCUGUGGUUUGUUUUUUUGUUUUUUGGGGGGACCGAGUUUCACUUUGUUGCCCAGGCUGGAGUGCAGUGGUGCGAUCUUGGCUCACCGCAACCUCCACCUACUGGAUUCAAGCGAUUCUCCUGCCUCAGCCUCCCGAGUAACUGGGAUUACAGGCAUGUGCCACCAUGCCUGGCUAAUUUUGUAUUUUUAAUAGAGAUGGGGUUUCUCCAUGUUGGUCAGGCUGGUCUUGAACUCCUGACCUCAGGUGAUCCACCCGCGCCUCAGCCUCCCAAAGUGCUGGGAUUACAGGCAUGAGCCACUGUGCCCAGCCCACACAUUCCUUUUUGCGGUGGGGAGCCACAGGGAGACCUGCCCGUCUGUCCUCCUGCUUCUUGCUUCUCCCUUUCAUUUUGUCCAGGGCUGACAAACCAGCCGUUUCUGAGGACCCCUCCUGUCUGCCUCCUCCCCCAGGUGGAGUGUGCAUUGGCACAGAAGGGCUGUUUUGCUUCUCUCACUCCCCUUGAACAGGUGCCUGGGGAGGGAAAGGCCUGGGACCCAAGGCAGAGCAGGUGGCGUGCUGUGUCUGUUGGGCAGGCGCGAGGUGGGGAGGACACUGGCAAGGCUCGUUAAGGCCGGGAGGUACGGGGCUCAGGGACUCGGAGAAUCAGCAUGCAGUGACAGCAUCGGCUCAGCGAGAGGGAAGUGGGACCCAGCCUGGCCUGAGUGGAGACCCUGAGUGGGGCCAACUCCAUCUUCCCAGUGUGUUUGGGCUUUGGAGACAUGCCCAAGGCAGGACAGCUUUGAUUCUCACCAUAGCCCUGGGGGCCAGGAUGGCUGUCUCCUCCCUACACCACGGUGAAGACAUUCAGACCAACAGAAUAUAGGAGUUUAUCACCAACAGACAGAAGGAACUUCUAGGAAACAAACUUCAGAAACAAUGAGAUUUGGCUAUCAGUAUUUAAUUAAUAUCAUAAAAUAUGUUAAGAGCGCUUACCAUCUUUUUCUCUGAUCUGGAGUAGCUUAAAUAGCAUUUGAAUGAUCUAUUAUCUAAAGGUAAAGCCUUUAGAUAAUAACCUUUUUUUUUUUUUUGAUGGAGUCUCACUGUCACCCAGGCUGGAAUGCAAUGGCACGAUCUCCGUUCACUGUAGCCUCCGCCUCCCAGGCCCCAAGCGAUUCUCCUGCCUCAGCCUCCUGAGUAACUAGGAUUACAGAGACAGUGCCUUGCUUUGUUACCCAGACUGCUCUAGAACUCCUGGCUUCAAGCAAUCCUCCCACCUUGGCCUCCAAAAGUGUUGGAAUUACAGGCAUGAGUGACCGCACCCAGCCUUCUAUACUGCUUCUAACAGAAUAAAAGAAUUUUUCCAGAUUUUGUAUUAAAUGGAAGUAGACAGUAUGUAUAAUUUCAUAUCCGUGAGGUUCAUCCAUGUUACUCAUUCGGUUAUAUGAAUGUUUACCCUUUGUUGAUUUUUUUUUUAGAGACAGAGUCUCACUCUGUCACCCAGGCUGGGGUGCAGUGGCCAUUCACAAGUGUGAGGAUAGCUGACUGUGGCCUCAAAUUCCCAGGCUCAAGCCAUCGUUUGCCUCAGCCUCCCGGGUAGCUGGGACUACAGCUACAGGCACGAGCCACCACACCCAGCUAAAUUAAAAAAAUAUUUUUAGAGGUGGGUCUUGCUAUGUUGCCAGGCUGGUUUUGAACUCCUGGCCUCAAGAGAUCCUUAGCCUCCCAAGUAGCUGGGAUUACAGGCACUAAGAACCAUGCCCGGCUAUUUAUUCAUUCUUCUGUUAAUGGACAUUUGGGUUGUUUCCAGUUUGGGGCUCUUAUAAAUAGUGCUGUUAAGAACAUUCUUGUUCAUGUCUUUGGCUGAACAUAUGUACACUUUUCUGUUGCUAAGCCAACAUGUUCUUGCUCUCUCUUUUUAAACAAAGUUCUAUAAUGGAAAUUUUCAAACAUAUACUCAAAAAAAAGUAGAUAGAAUGGAAUAAUGAACCCCAUUGUACCUGUUACACAGCUUCAGUUGUCUUUUUUUGAGACGGAGUCUUGCUCUGUCGCCCAGGCUGGAGUGCAAUGGUGUGAUCUCAGCUCACUGCAACC